rnacentral:rRNA from 1 species
GACGAACGCUGGCGGCGUGCUUAACACAUGCAAGUCGAACGGAAGGGCCUCUUUCGGGGGGUACUCGUGUUGCGAACGGGUGAGUAACACGUGAGUAACCAGCCCUUGUCUUUGGGAUAACUUCAGGAAACUGGGGCUAAUACCGGAUAGGAGCUCCUGCUGAAUGGUGGGGGUUGGAAAGUUUCGGCGGUUGGGGGUGGAUUGGCGGCGUAUCCGCUUGUUGGUGGGGUAGUGGCUUACCAAGGGUUUGACGGGUAGCCGGACUGUGAGAGUGAGCGGCGGCACUGGGACUGAGGUGAGGCCGAGGUAGCGACGGGAGGGAGAAGUGGGGAAUACUGCACGAGCAGUGGCGGGCUGGUGCAGCAGCGCCGCGGACCGGAUAACGCCGUUCGUAUUGAAGAACGUAUGCGCACAUAACGAAGCUUUGUGUGACGGUAGUGAAUCAAAAAGCACCGGCUAACUACGUG